rnacentral:rRNA from 1 species
UCAAUCUCGUGCGGCUAUAUAUACCGCCGGUCCCUCUAAGAAGAUUUUCAUCGGACGCCGUUUAAAGACGCCGCCCGAACGCGCGCACGCGGGCCCUCGUGAUACCGGUUGCACGUCUAUUUAGUAGGCUAGAGUUACGUUCGUUAC